CCUACGGGAGGCAGCAGUGGGGAAUUUUGCGCAAUGCUCGUAAGAGUGACGCAGCGACGCCGCGUGAAUGACGAAGGCCUUCGGGUCGUAAAGUUCUUUCGACAGGGAAGAAAAUGACGGUACCUGAGUAAGAAGCUCCGGCUAAAUACGUGCCAGCAGCCGCGGUAAUACGUAUGGAGCAAGCGUUAUCCGGAUUUACUGGGUGUAAAGGGAGCGCAGGCGGCCUUGCAAGUCUGAUGUGAAAUACCGGGGCUCAACCCCGGGGCUGCAUUGGAAACUGUGAGGCUGGAGUGUCGGAGAGGCAGGCGGAAUUCCUAGUGUAGCGGUGAAAUGCGUAGAUAUUAGGAGGAACACCAGUGGCGAAGGCGGCCUGCUGGACGAUGACUGACGCUGAGGCUCGAAAGCGUGGGGAGCGAACAGGAUUAGAUACCCGGGUAGUC
rnacentral:rRNA from 1 species